UUUUGAGCUUAUCCUUAAACCUAGCCUACCCACCAGCUAAGCCACGACCAGGACCCCUCCCUCUCUCUCUUGUUCUCAUCUCUUUCUCCCUCUUUCUCUCUCUAAGCUAGGGAUUGAAGCUUAGUGAUUUUGGUGGGCAGAUUUUGGUGUUCAUGGAACUUUGAGCUGAGAAGUGAAGAUUGGAGCUGAGAAAUCCCUUUGGGAAGUUUCAAAUCCGGGAAAGUUGGACGUGCUCGGAAGUUCAAAUUGAUAUUCCGACGGACCUACGACGUGCUAAUUAAGAAACGCUUCGUUCUAGCUUCAUUGGCAUCGAGUCGCAAGGACUAGGUGCUUAUAGACUUCGAGACGUUGGUUCUAACAUUUCGGCAUCCCUACAGAUCCUAGUGCGAGCGGAGCGGUCGAGGAUCACGGCAAGAGCCCGGCAUCUUAGCUAGUGGACUCCAGAGUAUAGUUAUACAUCUAUUUUGGUUUCAUGUUGUAUAUAUUUAAUGUUAAAGAAACAUGUAAAAGAAUGUAUAAAUGAGCAUGUAAAUAACUAAAUGUGAUAGUUAUUCAGCUUUACAGUUUGGUGUAAAGUUUUCAAAAAUACAAUGAAUGCAUGUUUAAUUAGCUAGCUUA